UACGUAUGGGGCAAGCGUUAUCCGGAUUUACUGGGUGUAAAGGGAGCGUAGGCGGCCUGGCAAGCCUGAUGUGAAAUACCGGGGCCCAACCCCGGGGCUGCAUUGGGAACUGCCAGGCUGGAGUGCCGGAGAGGCAGGCGGAAUUCCUAGUGUAGCGGUGAAAUGCGUAGAUAUUAGGAGGAACACCAGUGGCGAAGGCGGCUUACUGGACUGUAACUGACGUUGAGGCUCGAAAGCGUGGGGAGCAAACAGG
rnacentral:rRNA from 1 species